GAUGAACGCUGGCGGCGUGCCUAAUACAUGCAAGUCGAGCGAAUGGAUUAAGAGCUUGCUCUUAUGAAGUUAGCGGCGGACGGGUGAGUAACACGUGGGUAACCUGCCCAUAAGACUGGGAUAACUACGGGAAACCGGGGCUAAUACCGGAUAACAUUUUGAACCGCAUGGUUCGAAAUUGAAAGGCGGCUUCGGCUGUCACUUAUGGAUGGACCCGCGUCGCAUUAGCUAGUUGGUGAGGUAACGGCUCACCAAGGCAACGAUGCGUAGCCGACCUGAGAGGGUGAUCGGCCACACUGGGACUGAGACACGGCCCAGACUCCUGCGGGAGGCAGCAGUAGGGAAUCUUCCGCAAUGGACGAAAGUCUGACGGAGCAACGCCGCGUGAGUGAUGAAGGCUUUCGGGUCGUAAAACUCUGUUGUUAGGGAAGAACAAGUGCUAGUUGAAUAAGCUGGCACCUUGACGGUACCCAACCAGAAAGCCACGGCUAACUACGUGCCAGCAGCCGCAGUAA
rnacentral:rRNA from 1 species